AGGUUGCAACAAACCGCGCUCAAACGAGCGGGCUCAAACGUACGUUGUUCCUUCUCUUCUAGCUCCAAGCUUUUUCCCUUAAACAAAUAUCCAAGAAGCCGUCGAACUCAGCCCUGCGUCGCCGUCGAACUCAGCCCUGCGUCGCCGUCGAACCCAAGCGUUGCUCAGCCCUGCGUCGCUGUCUUCGCCGGUGUGUGGUGUUCUCGCCUCAUCUCCCCCAUCCCGUUCAAUUCUCGCGCGGCCUGUCACUGAAAGAUAUAUUCUUGGUCGGCCGGGGGUUCAGCAUCUCUCCGUCGCGUCGUGGUUCCGGUGGUUGCUCGGCGUCGUGGUUCCGGUGUUUUCGCACGGGAAAGUAUCGGAUAAAACAGAUGUUUAUGCCUUUGGAGUUGUUCUUUUAGAGCUAAUAACAGGCUGAAAGCCAAUUGAAUCACUAAGGCCAUCCAGAGAAGAGAACUUGGUUCAAUUGAAACUGCUACGGAGACAGAAUAGAUUACAGACAACAGGAGAAUCCAUAUCCCCUCUAAUGAAUCACAUCCUCAUGUUGCUCAAAUUUUAUGCUAAAGGCUAUCACUUCUACUGGGACAAAGAAGGGCGAGUUGUUUUUGGCUGAUGUCAGCACUAAGUUGACAAACAAGAAUAUUACCACCGAUGUGAAAGUUGAUACCAACUCCAAUCUUUUCACCACCAUUACGUUGAUGAACCUGCCCCUGGCAUGAAGGCUAUUUUUAGUUUCCGUGUUCCUGAUCAGAGAUCUGGCAAGGUCUACACUCCGAGGAUUGCGCCUUAUGCGAGGAAUUUGAUGUGGUUCGUGAGCAAUGGGCUAAGUUUUUUACCAACAAGUAUUUAUUAUUGGCUUUAGCGCGCUUGAUCGAGUUGGUUUAGUUGUUAUAGAAUAAAUUUUAUAUUAAAAUGUAUGUUUAUGUUGAAAUUGGAACAUAUAUUUAAAUGUAAUAUGUGCACUUUGGUUUUGGGAUAUAUAGUAUACAAAACUCCAGUUGUUGUUUUUAUAUUUGUUAUACAGGUUGCGUUAUUCUAUUAUUGUUUUGACAGGUUUCUAUAUUUGGUGCAAGGCACUCUAGGUAUCCCUAAACAAAAUUAGAAUUUUCCCGCCAAAAGUGUUUUUUUGCAGCGUACAUAUAUGUUGUACGCUGCAACAAGGGAAAAAAAUUUCGCAAAAAUUCAGACUUGUUGCAGCGUACAAAUAA